GACAGAGGAUGCAAGCGUUAUCCGGAAUGAUUGGGCGUAAAGCGUCUGUAGGUGGUUUUUAAAGUCUUCUGUCAAAGAUCAGGGCUUAACCCUGGGCCGGCAGAAGAGACUUAAAAAGCUUGAGUUCGGUAGGGGCAGAGGGAAGUUCCCGGUGUGAGCGGUGAAAUGCGUAGAGAUACGGGCGAAGAACACCAAUGGCGAAGGCACUCUGCUGGGCCGACACUGACACUGGAGAGACGAAAGCUAGGGGAGCGAAUGGG
rnacentral:rRNA from 1 species